CACGGGGGGAGCAAGCGUUGUUCGGAAUCACUGGGCGUAAAGGGCGUGUAGGCGGUCAAGUAAGUGGAAUGUGAAAGCCCCCGGCUUACCCGGGGAUCGGCAUCCCAAACUGCUUGGCUUGAGUACGGGAGAGGAUAGGGGAAUUCCUGGUGUAGCGGUGAAAUGCGUAGAUAUCAGGAGGAACACCGGUGGCGAAGGCGCCUAUCUGGCCCGGAGUACCUGACGCUGAGUCGCGCGAAAGCUAGGGGAGCGAAACGGG
rnacentral:rRNA from 1 species